rnacentral:rRNA from 1 species
UACGAAGGAUGCAAGCGUUAUCCGGAUUUAUUGGGUUUAAAGGGUGCGUAGGCGGGCUGAUAAGUCAGUGGUGAAAGCUGGUCGCUCAACGAUCAAAUUGCCAUUGAUACUAUCGGUCUUGAGUACGGUUGAAGUGGGCGGAAUGUGCAGUGUAGCGGUGAAAUGCUUAGAUAUUGCACAGAACACCAAUUGCGAAGGCAGCUCACUAAGUCGUAACUGACGCUGAGGCACGAAAGUGUGGGGAUCAAACAGG